ACGAAAGCAUGUUUUAAAUUUCCCCCCAAUUUCUUUCUUGCUUUUCCACUUUUCUCUGUUCUUUCCUUCUCCAAAAUCGCACGCCCACCCCAAGCUAAGUUCCUCUACCUCAUUUUCAUAAAUUCAUUUCCCUUAUAGUGUCUCUGCCCCCGCUGGUCCUUUGCACCCACACCAUCUCCCUGCAUUUUUGUCCACCACCACCAUUCAUUGGCGCCAUCUCAGGGGGGUCUCUUUCCUUCCCUCUCUCCUCUGCCUCUCUUCCCGACUCUCUCUCUCUCUCUCUCUCUCUCUCUCUCUCAGAGUUUUGGGCAAAACUCUAAUAUGUUUACUGUUACAACUACCUCCACCGUCGUUUGGACACUAGCGCCGCCACACUCAAUAGCCUAAGAUGCUCCUCCCGUUCCUAUAGAUUGAUCUGCCCCACCCGCCGGUGAUGCCUUCUACUACCACUCGACCUGCGACGCCACAAGAAACAUGUGACUGCUCCUCCCGUUCCUAUAGAUUGAUCUGCCCCACCCACCGGUGAUGCCUUCUACUGCCACUCAACCUGCGACGCCGCAAGAAACAUGUGACUUUCGAUUUAGGUACUCUUAUGCCUCUCUAUAUCUCUAUGGUUGAUAUCCCCACUAAGGAGGCUGUUGUGAUUGAUUCCCGGAUGCCCAUUUUUUGUGUCCCUAAGCUGGAUUUUUCUCUUGUUUUGGUCAAUCUUGGUUCUACUCAUUUGUAACCCUUAGUUGUGUUUGUUUGUGUGGAUUUACCCUUAUUGGCGGUAGAACCUUUUUAGAAAUUUCUUCCUUCUGCAAAUGCAUCCUUUAAAUCAUUGUUUGUUAAUGAUAAACGUAAACAUUUUAAUCAAUGUGACCAAAAAUCUGCUCCAUAGUGCAUGCAAGACCCACAUAAGAACCAAGAAUUAGCAUCUAGUAACUAGGACAACUAUUAUAUAUAAAUCUCAACUCGGAUUAAAACUUAGUGUUCAAUCUUGCCUGGAACCCACACAUGUGAAAAACAGGAAAAGACAAAAAAGACAAAACAAUUGUGGUGCCAAUUUGUGUCGCAUAAAUCUGAUUAUUGUUUUGUACUUUUUGGGACCAAGGAAAAUAAAGGUGGGAUUUUCUUGCUCUUAUUAUUAUUAUAAUUUUUUUUUUUUUUUUUUUUUUUGUGAUUCAAAACUAAUAAAACAAUGUGAUGUUCCAAUUUUUAAAACAAUGAUUUGUUCCAAUUCAUUGUGUUUGUUAGUUAUGAAGGAAUAUGGUAUUAACGAAUUGUGAAUUAUUAAUGUUUUAUGUUCGUUUGAUGAUUAUUUUUUUGUUUUCAAGAUGAUAGAUAAUGAGUAUAAAUUUAUUUAUUACCUAUAAAAAAGUAUAGAUUUAUGUAUUAAAAAAAUAUUUUUAGUAUAAACUUUAUAUAUAUAUAUAUAUAUAGAUAUGCAUAUAUUGAGUAAUCCUGAAAUGCUACAUUGGUACACACUGCUACCAAAUAUUCCGUUCUAGUAUCUAAACCAAAAUACCAUUGGAAUUGAAUUCAAAAGUUUGCUUUUCACUUGAAAAUUUCAAGGUUACACAUGAAAAACUUCUAGGCUGGUUAGCAAAACAAAUAUGAGGAUAUGAAUAUGUAUAUGUAAUUAGUGGGCUGUUUUCACGUAGCACUUAGAAGGUAAUUAAUUAAACAGAAUCCAAAGUGAUGCAAAAGAGUUGUGAUUAAAAUACCAUAUCUAUACAGAUUUAUAACACAUUAUAAAUCUGUACAGAUAUAUAUAUUUACACCAAAUAUAUGUAUGCUGGAUUUCUUAUCUGUACAUCCAUCUAUUAAUAUAUCUAAAUAUAUAUGUGAUCCUGACUUGAUCAGCAUGCGCAUUUGGUUGUCUAGUGUUUAGAAAUUAUGUUGGUUUUGACUUCAAUGCCUCUUGCUUUAAUACUUUAAGAUCAUAAACUUAUCUAUAUAAAUAUAUAUAUAUAUAUAUAUGUAGAGACACACAUAUUGUUGUUAAUUUCUAGGGCAGUUAAAGCCUUGAAGAGUUGAGGAUAUUCAGCUGUUAUUGGUGGCCAUAUUGACUCUUGGUCGGUUUAGACUUUAGACAGAAUUUAACCAGCUAUCUUGAGGUUGAUGCACCAUAUAUAACAUUAACAAAGAAGGCAAAAUUCUCAAUGCAUUCUUGCAGCAUUUUCAAUCUAAAUAUAUAUAUAUAUAUAUAUAUAUAUAUAAAAUAACUUCAUACUAAAUAUAUAAUAGUUUGAGAUGUAAAAUUACUUACUAAUUAUUUUUUUUCCAUAACUCCAAGUGAAUCCUCUAUCUUUUUGGUACAAGUCUUCCAAAUAGAUAUAUAAAUAUCUUGGUUUUGAUGCAUUUCUUUGUUUGAAAUUUUAUUACAGAUCUAUAUAUAGUGACUAGUGUAGUACUCAAAUGCAAUUAGGCUACUAUAUAUAUAUAUAUUCUUCUUGAGAAAUAUAUACAGUGUAGCACUCAAAUUCAAUUAGGUUGUUUGAGGUCUGAUCAUUGAUGAUCAGACUACCCAUUUGUGUUGACCUCGCUGUAUUAAGGCUACACAUUCUGCUGAACUGCAUGCUAUUCAAUGCAUAAGGACAAAUCUAAGGACAUUUUGUUAUUCAAUGCAUAAAGUACCCGUUCGUUUACUGAUUUGCAAACUGCAUGCAUUGCUGAUUGGUAUUAGAUAUAGUUAGUCAAUGCACACAGUCAUAUAUGCAUUAUAUGGAGCCAAAUUGAACAUCACUUAUUCAAAAGAAUAAAUGAAUAUUUGUUAUAAUGGAUCUGUAUCGUAUGAAUUAUUUGUUUAUCUGUAACUUUUACUGCAUAGGUUCUACAAGUACAAAGUAAAAUGUUACAAAUAAAAUGGAAAUUCAAAACUAUUCUUGUUUUAGUACUAAUGUGACAACAUCGAUAAUAUUAUAAACUGGACUCAACAUGUAAGUUUCUUGUUGUAAAGCUUGCAAUAUAUAUCUUCAACAUUUUUGAAUAAAAAAACGAGAGCUGGAAAAUGAAUGAGAACUGAAAAUUUCUUCCAAUCGCACCCCCUCCAAAAAAAAAAAAAAAAAAAAAAGAAACAAACAAAAAAUAAAAGGAAUCUCAUAACUGGUGGAGAUUAGAGUCAUGACCAUUGUCAGGCUCCAAUUUCUCUUUUGUCUCUUUCAAUCUCUUCCCAACCACGAGGAAUUAUAAUCAUGAAACAAAUGGAUCAACUCUAGUACUAUAUCAAAUGGCCCUUCCUACUCUAUUGAGCAUGGCCAUUCUUCAAGAAAAAUGAAGAAAAAGGACUAGAUGCUGUGAAUUCAGUCAAAAUUAUGUGGGACAUUAGCAUUCAAAAUAAUGGAUCUGUAGCCUUAUUGUUAAAACAAUAAGGAUUUCCCUUGUUUCUAUGACUUCAUGCUCUUUUCACUUUCUAGGUUUUUUGUUUUACUAAUCUAUUGGUGUUGUGUCUUUCCAGAAAACUCAUAUACAGGAAAUGUACUGCUCCUUUAUAACUGCUCUGAUGGUGUGUACAUAUGCAUUUUAUGUAUAAUUGCCAGAUUGGUGUGUCCAGAUGGAAAUAUCAAAUAUCCAACAAGUAUAAGGGCUGAUGCAGUCUUGUGAGUUGUUUUGUCCACCCUUCAUGCCCAGGUGCAUAUUGCUAUAUCUAACUAGAUAUAAUUUAUAAAGAUAGAGUAGCACAAUUGACAUAUUUGAAUGAAUGUCAAUUACAUUUCCGAAUCUGUCUGACUUUAGUAGUUAAGUUGUAGGUUUUGGGUUCUAUUUGUUCCACCAUGGUGUAUGGCCCAUUUCUAAUUAGUUUAUUGUUUUUCUCUGGUAUAAUGGGUCUUGUGGGUUGCUUGGAUUGGGUCUCUCAAUAUGGGAAGAAAGAAUUGAAUCUCUAUGACAUUUGCUCUAUGAACCAUGUAAAAUUACUACUGAAUACAGUUUUAGUAGUAUUUUUUUUUUUUAA